UGCCUUUAUUUCGUUGCGGCAAACUUCUACGU
rnacentral:scRNA from 1 species